rnacentral:siRNA from 1 species
CAUUAUCUUCAAAAAAUUGCUGC